rnacentral:tRNA from 1 species
GGAGCUGUAGCUCAGUGGUAGAGCUCAUGCCUAACACGUGUGAGGCACUGGGUUCGAUCCUCAGCACCA